GACCUUCUCGAAUCUAAAUACGAAGUUUUACUUAUUUAAACAAAUUUUUUGACAUAUCGAGUAAAAUGCAACACGAAGUUGUAGGAAAAAUGCAAAAAUAAAUUACAUCGUUAACAUGCAUAACAGAAUAAUAAACGCGUUAAUACGGAUAACAGUAGGAAAGAUGAAAAUUAAAUAAAAUAAAUAGAGCAACCAAGCUAAUAAAAAG
rnacentral:lncRNA from 1 species